rnacentral:rRNA from 1 species
UAGUCCAUGCCGUAAACGGUGGGCACUAGAUGUGGGUCCUAUUCCAUGGGAUCCGUGUCGCAGCUAACGCAUUAAGUGCCCCGCCUGGGGAGUACGGCCGCAAGGCUAAAACUCAAAGGAAUUGACGGGGGCCCGCACAAGCGGCGGAGCAUGCGGAUUAAUUCGAUGCAACGCGAAGAACCUUACCAAGGCUUGACAUAUACGGUUUAUCCAUAGAGAUAUGGAGUCCUUAGGGGCUGUAUACAGGUGGUGCAUGGUUGUCGUCAGCUCGUGUCGUGAGAUGUUGGGUUAAGUCCCGCAACGAGCGCAACCCUCGUUCUAUGUUGCCAGCGCGUAAUGGCGGGGACUCAUAGAAGACUGCCGGGGUCAACUCGGAGGAAGGUGGGGAUGACGUCAAAGUCAUCAUGCCCCUUAUGUCUUGGGCUUCACGCAUGCUACAAUGGCCGGUACAAAGGGCUGCGAAACUGUAAAGUUUAGCGAAUCCCAAAAAGCCGGUACUCAGUUCGGU